UACGUAGGGUGCAAGCGUUGUCCGGAAUUAUUGGGCGUAAAGAGCUCGUAGGCGGUCUGUCGCGUCGGCUGUGAAAUCCCGAGGCUCAACCUCGGGUCUGCAGUCGAUACGGGCAAACUAGAGUAUUGCAGGGGAGAGUGGAAUUCCUGGUGUAGCGGUGAAAUGCGCAGAUAUCAGGAAGAACACCCGUGGCGAAGGCGGCUCUCUGGAACGCAACUGACGCUGAGACGCGAAAGCGUGGGGAGCAAACAGG
rnacentral:rRNA from 1 species